rnacentral:rRNA from 1 species
UACAGAGGGUGCAAGCGUUAAUCGGAUUUACUGGGCGUAAAGCGUGCGUAGGCGGUUCGCUAAGUCGGUUGUGAAAUCCCUGGGCUUAACCUGGGAACUGCAGUCGAUACUGGCGGACUAGAGUACGGUAGAGGGUGGCGGAACUCCGGGUGUAGCGGUGAAAUGCGUAGAUAUCGGGAGGAACACCUGUGGCGAAGGCGGCCCCCUGGUUGGAUACUGACGCUGAUACGCGAAAGCGUGGGGAGCAACAGG